AACCAACAGGGAUUGCCCCAGUAACGGCGAGUGAAGCGGCAACAGCUCAAAUUUGAAAUCUGGCCCCCCCGCGGGCCCGAGUUGUAAUUUGCAGAGGAUGCUUUUGGCGCGGCGCCUUCCGAGUGCCCUGGAACGGGACGCCAUAGAGGGUGAGAGCCCCGUCUGGUCGGACGCCCAGCCUCUGUAAAGCUCCUUCGACGAGUCGAGUAGUUUGGGAAUGCUGCUCUAAACGGGAGGUAUAUGUCUUCUAAAGCUAAAUACCGGCCAGAGACCGAUAGCGCACAAGUAGAGUGAUCGAAAGAUGAAAAGCACUUUGAAAAGAGGGUUAAACAGUACGUGAAAUUGUUGAAAGGGAAGCGCUUGUGACCAGACUCGGGCGCGGCGAAUCACCCGGCGUUCUCGCCGGUGCACUUCGACGCGCCCGGGCCAGCAUCAGCUCGCCGCGGGGGACAAAGGCGCCGGGAACGUGGCUCCCCAGGGAGUGUUAUAGCCCGGCGCGCAACGCCCCGCGGCGGACUGAGGUUCGCGCGUCCGCAAGGAUGCUGGCGUAAUGGUCACCAGUGACCCGUCUUGAAACACGGACCAAGGAGUCGUCCUCGUAUGCGAGUGUUCGGGUGUCAAACCCCUACGCGCAAUGAAAGUGAACGCGGGUGAGAGCCUCGCGGCGCAUCAUCGACCGAUCCUGAUGUUCUCGGAUGGAUUUGAGUAGGAGCAUACGGGGCCGGACCCGAAAGAAGGUGAACUAUGCCUGUGUAGGGUGAAGCCAGAGGAAACUCUGGUGGAGGCUCGCAGCGGUUCUGACGUGCAAAUCGAUCGUCAAACAUGGGCAUGGGGGCGAAAGACUAAUCGAAC
rnacentral:rRNA from 1 species